rnacentral:other from 1 species
AGGGCCCUGUGUUGUUCGUGGGCGAAAAGAAUUUCUAGCCUACAACUUUAGACUAGGGGCAAACCCUUACCGCGGUGUGCAAGCCUUCCAUAAGUAGAAGGAAGCCUAAAGCGGUAAUACUGAGCACCCACCUUAUGGUAUGGUGCUAGAAAUUCUUCAAACACGGCAUCUACGGGGCUCAU